CCUACGGGCGGCAGCAGUGGGGAAUAUUGGACAAUGGGGGGAACCCUGAUCCAGCCAUGCCGCGUGUGUGAAGAAGGCCCUCGGGUUGUAAAGCACUUUCAGUGAGGAAGAACGCCUGGUGGUUAAUACCCAUCAGGAAAGACAUCACUCACAGAAGAAGCACCGGCUAACUCCGUGCCAGCAGCCGCGGUAAUACGGAGGGUGCGAGCGUUAAUCGGAAUUACUGGGCGUAAAGCGCGCGUAGGUGGCUUGAUAAGCCGGUUGUGAAAGCCCCGGGCUCAACCUGGGAACGGCAUCCGGAACUGUCAAGCUAGAGGGAAGGAGAGGAAGGUAGAAUUCCCGGUGUAGCGGUGAAAUGCGUAGAGAUCGGGAGGAAUACCAGUGGCGAAGGCGGCCUUCUGGACUGACACUGACACUGAGGUGCGAAAGCGUGGGUAGCAAACAGGAUUAGAUACCCGGGUAGUC
rnacentral:rRNA from 1 species